CCCUCCCUGGAUCCCCUUUCUCGUCAAGCUUGCCGGGGAUGCCACCGCUCGCCGUUGCAACGCCAGCUGCAGGGGCCGGCAGGAUCCGCCAGCCGUCGGUCCGGAUCGACGUCCACGCCUUCGGCUCCAACAUGUAUGCCCGCUAGGCGCCGCCGUGAACCACCUCAUUUCUCCGGAACCUCUUGAACCAAGGCCACCCUUUUGGUUCCGUUGGCCGCCGUUGCGACCCCGCCACGGUCAUCGUCCUCCCCGAGCAGCUACAGGGACCAUGAAGGGGUCCACGUCUGGACCACGGACUCGAAGCCACGGGUCCCUCCUACAGCUUCCUCAACCGCUGACCGCCAUUGACGCCGUCCGGAACUCACUGUUGUCCGUCCUCUCGCCUCCCUGAUCUGUUCGACUCGGCCGCAAUGAACAACAAGGUCCACCUCCUUCUGUAUGACGCACGAGGUGUUGCAGUGAGGAUACAGAGCAUCUACCACCAGUGAGCUUCCAUGAUAUGGAUAAAACAUCUUUUAGAAAUAGCAAUCUGAUGUGGGUAUCUUCAGGAAUCAAGAAGCGAAUGAGAUAAGGCAAGUGGACUUCUCAUUUAGUCACAUGAUAUCUUCAGGAAUCAAGAAGCGAAUGAGAUAAGGCAAGUGGACUUCUCAUUUAGUCACAUGAUAUGGCAACUGCAUCAAAGUAACUAUUAAUUUUGUGUUGGCAUGGUAGUGUUGUCAGGAUUUAUUGCCUAAAUGUGUUUGUGUAAAAACACAAGAAUGCAUUUCUCUUCAUCAUUGUGAUGGUGAAAGAAAAUAUGUCGAACAAUUGUUUAUCGUGUAAACUAUUUUGGCGCAAUGCACCUGCUACUUGCUUAUUCGUCAGCAUGGCUCAGGAUCCCAAUUUCCUUCCUUAUUUCAUCUUUGAUUUGUCACCUCAUGUCCUUCUCAAUUUAGAUUAGAGAAUAUAUCUCUCAGG